rnacentral:rRNA from 1 species
AUUGAACGCUGGCGGCAUGCUUUACACAUGCAAGUCGAACGGUAACAGGCCUUCGGGUGCUGACGAGUGGCGAACGGGUGAGUAAUGCAUCGGAACGUGCCCAGAGGUGGGGGAUAACGCAGCGAAAGCUGUGCUAAUACCGCAUGUGAUCUGAGGAUGAAAGCGGGGGACCAGGCAGCAAUGUUUGGCCUCGCGCCUUUGGAGCGGCCGAUGUCAGGUUAGGUAGUUGGUGGGGUAAAGGCCUACCAAGCCGACGAUCUGUAGCUGGUCUGAGAGGACGACCAGCCACACUGGGACUGAGACACGGCCCAGACUCCUACGGGAGGCAGCAGUGGGGAAUUUUGGACAAUGGGCGCAAGCCUGAUCCAGCAAUGCCGCGUGCGGGAAGAAGGCCUUCGGGUUGUAAACCGCUUUUGUACGGAACGAAAAGGCUCUGGCUAAUACCUGGGGCUGAUGACGGUACCGUAAGAAUAAGCACCGGCUAACUACGUG